UUCAUCUUUGAUUCUUUGACU
ensembl:piRNA 21ur-6465 ncRNA